rnacentral:rRNA from 1 species
UACGGAAGGUCCAGGCGUUAUCCGGAUUUAUUGGGUUUAAAGGGAGCGUAGGCUGGAGAUUAAGUGUGUUGUGAAAUGUAGACGCUCAACGUCUGAAUUGCAGCGCAUACUGGUUUCCUUGAGUACGCACAACGUUGGCGGAAUUCGUCGUGUAGCGGUGAAAUGCUUAGAUAUGACGAAGAACUCCGAUUGCGAAGGCAGCUGACGGGAGCGCAACUGACGCUUAAGCUCGAAGGUGCGGGUAU